UAUUUUACCAUAAUAUGAUAUACUUAUUGUUAAUAAUGACACACUAUCAACCGAACUCCGCUAAGAAUCGUUUUUUCGUUUGCCAUGUUUUAUCUGAUACCAUGUUUUUUUACAGAUAUACAUUAAAUUUCCCCUCUACUACCAUUCAAACUUCUUAUCUACAUUUUUUUUUUUCAAUUACAAAUUGCUCUUUUUACGGUAGCAACGAAAAAUACUUAUACUCUAAACACAACGUCCC